rnacentral:misc_RNA from 1 species
ACAUAAGCAUUUUUAAGCUGAAACGAUGAGUCUCAUCAAUACUCUUCCUCACAUUCUCCUUUCUCUUACCCUCUUUUUUUACUACUAUCCAUGCAGCCACUUUUGAUGUUGUGAACCAAUGUACCUAUACAGUUUGGGCUGCAGCCUCACCUGGGGGUGGGCGUCGUCUAGAUUCAGGCCAGACCUGGACAUUUGACGUAGCACCAGGCACCACAAUGGCUCGAAUUUGGGGCCGAACCAAUUGCAACUUUGAUGGCAACGGAUGUGAGACUGGUGAUUGUAACAAGGCUCUAGAAUGCCAAGGCUGGGGUUCACCACCAAAUACCUUGGCCGAGUUUGCACUCAAUCAGGCCAACAACUUGGACUAUCUAGACAUAUCUCUUGUUGAUGGCUUUAACAUCCCAAUUGAUUUCAGCCCCACUACCGGUGACUGUCGUGGAAUCCGAUGUGCAGCUGAUAUUAAUGGACAGUGCCCAGACCAGUUGCGGGCUCCUGGAGGCUGCAAUAAUCCUUGUACUGUAUUUAAAACCAAUCAAUAUUGCUGCACUGAUGGUCCUGGAAGCUGUGGCCCAACCGAUUUCUCCAAGUUCUUCAAGGAUAGGUGCCCAGAUGCUUAUAGUUACCCUCAAGAUGAUCAGACCAGCACAUUUACUUGUCCUAGUGGAACCAAUUACAAGGUUACAUUUUGUCCAUGAAUUCCUACUUUCUUUCAUGGGAGAAGAGAAUAGGAGUUAGUUAAUGAUAUAGAAUAAAAAAGAUUAAGAGCUCCCAUCAUAAACCCAAUAAGUUGACGCAUUUAUAUCCAUGCUAAUUACAAGUUACACAUAUAUUGUUACAUGGAUAUAUUACUGAUGCUAUUAAUAAAUUGUUUUUCCUUGAUUUGAAAAUUAA